rnacentral:rRNA from 1 species
AAUUUAAAAUCUGCUGGUCUUUGGCCAUCCGAGUUGUAAUUUAGAGAAGCGUCUUCCGCGCUGGACCGUGCACAAGUCUCCUGGAAUGGAGCGUCAUAGAGGGUGAGAAUCCCGUCUUUGGCACGGAUGUACCAGGGCUUUUGUGAUGCGCUCUCGAAGAGUCGAGUUGUUUGGGAAUGCAGCUCAAAAUGGGUGGUGAACUCCAUCUAAAGCUAAAUAUUGGCGAGAGACCGAUAGCGAACAAGUACCGUGAGGGAAAGAUGAAAAGCACUUUGGAAAGAGAGUGAAACAGUACGUGAAAUUGUUGAAAGGGAAACGCUUGAAGUCAGUCGCGUCGACCGAGACUCAGCCUUGCCUCGGCUUGGUGUACUUCUCGGCUGACGGGUCAGCAUCAAUUUUGCCCCUUGGAUAAUGGCGAGGGAAAUGUGACACCUUUACGGUGUGUUAUAGUCUUUCGUCGCAUGCAAGGGUCGGGAUUGAGGAACUCAGCACGCGCCCUCGGGCGUCGGGGCUUUGCCCACGAUACGUGCUUAGGAUGUUGGCGUAAUGGCUUUAAACGACCCGUCUUGAAACACGGACCAAGGAGUCUAACAUGCCUGCGAGUGUUCGGGUGGAAAACCCGUGCGCGCAAUGAAAGUGAAAGUUGGGACCUCUGUCGUGGAGGGCACCGACGCCCGGACCAGACCUUUUGUGACGGCUCUGCGGUAGAGCAUGUAUGUUAGGACCCGAAAGAUGGUGAACUAUGCCUGAAUAGGGUGAAGCCAGAGGAAACUCUGGUGGAGGCUCGUAGCGAUUCUGACGUGCAAAUCGAUCGUCAAAUUUGGGUAUAGGGGCGAAAGACUAAUCGAACCAUCUAGUAGCUGGUUCCUG